rnacentral:rRNA from 1 species
GAUGAACGCUGGCGGCGUGCCUAAUACAUGCAAGUCGAGCGAACAGACGAGGAGUUUGCUCCUCUGACGUUAGCGGCGGACGGGUGAGUAACACGUGGAUAACCUACCUAUAAGACUGGGAUAACUUCGGGAAACCGGAGCUAAUACCGGAUAACAUGUUGAACCGCAUGGUUCAACAGUGAAAGACGGUCUUGCUGUCACUUAUAGAUGGAUCCGCGCCGCAUUAGCUAGUUGGUAAGGUAACGGCUUACCAAGGCAACGAUGCGUAGCCGACCUGAGAGGGUGAUCGGCCACACUGGAACUGAGACACGGUCCAGACUCCUACGGGAGGCAGCAGUAGGGAAUCUUCCGCAAUGGGCGAAAGCCUGACGGAGCAACGCCGCGUGAGUGAAGAAGGUCUUCGGAUCGUAAAACUCUGUUAUUAGGGAAGAACAAAUGUGUAAGUAACUAUGCACGUCUUGACGGUACCUAAUCAGAAAGCCACGGCUAACUACGUG